rnacentral:rRNA from 1 species
UACGGGGGGGGCAAGCGUUGUUCGGAAUUACUGGGCGUAAAGGGCUCGUAGGUGGCCAACUAAGUCAGACGUGAAAUCCCUCGGCUUAACCGGGGAACUGCGUCUGAUACUGGAUGGCUUGAGGUUGGGAGAGGGAUGCGGAAUUCCAGGUGUAGCGGUGAAAUGCGUAGAUAUCUGGAGGAACACCGGUGGCGAAGGCGGCAUCCUGGACCAAUUCUGACACUGAGGAGCGAAAGCCAGGGGAGCAAACAGG